rnacentral:misc_RNA from 1 species
GAAAAGUGGUUAGACAUCAAAUAGCCCUCUCUCUAGGUUAGAUAAGCAAAAGCAAAGGGCAAAAAAAAUCAUAGAUAUUAUAUAGGCAUUCAGUUGGUACUUGCGCAAGUAUACAUUAUAGGUUUAAUGUCUUGAGCCUCAUCCCAAAAAUUAAUUAAAAAAAAUCAAAAUUCAAUACUAAUUAUGCAAAUCUAUAAAACAUUUGAAUGCUAAGUAUAGAAAACCUGUCAUAUGUCUUCUAUCACUUUCCACAGCUUCCUGCAAUUUUCCACUGCUGUCCAGGAAUGAAAAGAGAAAGGCAAUGGCAACUGUCUUU